UACGGAGGGAGCUAGCGUUGUUCGGAAUUACUGGGCGUAAAGCGCGCGUAGGCGGCUUUGUAAGUUAGAGGUGAAAGCCCGGAGCUCAACUCCGGAACUGCCUUUAAAACUGCAUCGCUUGAAUCCAGGAGAGGUGAGUGGAAUUCCGAGUGUAGAGGUGAAAUUCGUAGAUAUUCGCAAGAACACCAGUGGCGAAGGCGGCCCACUGGCCCGGUACUGACGCUGAGGUGCGAAAGCGUGGGGAGCAAACAGG
rnacentral:rRNA from 1 species